rnacentral:rRNA from 1 species
CGAACGGGUGAGUAUACAUCGGAACGUGCCCUGUAGCGGGGGAUAGCCCGGCGAAAGCCGGAUUAAUACCGCAUACGCUCUACGGAGGAAAGGGGGGGAUCUUAGGACCUCCCGCUACUGGGGCGGCCGAUGGCAGAUUAGCUAGUUGGUGGGGUAAAGGCCUACCAAGGCGACGAUCUGUAGCUGGUCUGAGAGGACGACCAGCCACACUGGGACUGAGACACGGCCCAGACUCCUACGGGAGGCAGCAGUGGGGAAUUUUGGACAAUGGGGGCAACCCUGAUCCAGCCAUGCCGCGUGUGUGAAGAAGGCCUUCGGGUUGUAAAGCACUUUUGUCCGGAAAGAAAACGCCUGGGUUAAUACCCCUGGCGGAUGACGGUACCUGAAGAAUAAGCACCGGCUAACUACGUGCCAGCAGCCGCGGUAAUACGUAGGGUGCAAGCGUUAAUCGGAAUUACUGGGCGUAAAGCG